UUACAGAUACACUAAAAACGAAUUGGAAUUUAAGUGCUCUUUUUAUUUUCUUCCUAUUUUUAGGACCCCCAAAACUCAAUGGUGAUACUCUGUGAUGCAAAGCUUCAAGAACUAAUUCGAUAUGAAAGCAUUUCCGCACUGGGUAUGUCAGAGAUGCUGGGUCGCCAUUUCUUCAAGCGAUCAUAAUGUUAUGUAGUGUUGACUGGUGUAAAGCGUUGCUGACUAGUCGGUUCUGACAGUAUAACAGACUUUUUAAGAAGAUAUCAUUUUGAUUUUAUAUACUGUGAUUGAUUAGAUGCUACAUUGUUCUUCAGACUUGUUUAUGAGCAAGAUGGAAGUGUACUCUGGGCCAGUGGUGAGGAAUAGUUGUAUUUAAGGCCAUGGUCCUGGAUUCAGGUUUUCUUACUGAACAUCUUAGGGUAAA